AUUCAAAUAGCUUAUUAAAUAGAGCAUGACAUUGAAGAUGUUAAGGAGAUUGUUAAAUCUUUGAAUA
rnacentral:tRNA from 1 species